UACGUAGGGUGCAAGCGUUAUCCGGAAUUAUUGGGCGUAAAGAGCUCGUAGGCGGUCUGUCGCGUCGGUCGUGAAAACUUGGGGCUUAACCCUGAGCUUGCGGUCGAUACGGGCAUGACUGGAGUUCGGCAGGGGAGACUGGAAUUCCUGGUGUAGCGGUGAAAUGCGCAGAUAUCUGGAGGAAUACCGGUGGCGAAGGCGGCAUCCUGGACCGACAUUGACGCUGAUGAGCGAAAGCUAGGGGAGCAAACGGG
rnacentral:rRNA from 1 species